rnacentral:rRNA from 1 species
UACGUAGGGUGCGAGCGCUGUCCGGAAUUAUUGGGCGUAAAGAGCUCGUAGGCGGUGUGUCACGUCGGCCGUGAAAACCUGCAGCUUAACUGUGGGCGUGCGGUCGAUACGGGCAUCACUGGAGUUCGGCAGGGGAGACUGGAAUUCCUGGUGUAGCGGUGAAAUGCGCAGAUAUCAGGAGGAACACCGGUGGCGAAGGCGGUUCUCUGGGCAUUACCUGACGCUGAGGAGCGAAAGUGUGGGGAGCGAACAGG